UACGUAGGUGGCAAGCGUUGUCCGGAUUUAUUGGGCGUAAAGAGCGCGCAGGUGGUUGAUUAAGUCUGAUGUGAAAGCCCACGGCUUAACCGUGGAGGGUCAUUGGAAACUGGUCGACUUGAGUGCAGAAGAGUGAAGUAGAAUUCCAUGUGUAGCGGUGAAAUGCGUAGAGAUAUGGAGGAACACCAGUGGCGAAGGCGGCUUCCUGGUCUGUAACUGACACUGAGGCGCGAAAGCGUGGGGAGCAAACAGGAUUAGAUACCCGU
rnacentral:rRNA from 1 species